AUUCUUUUUACAUUUCUACAACACAUAAAUUUCGGAACGCUCUCUAUCGAAAAUAUUGGAUCGUACCCUGGUGUAUCGACAAGACGGGAAACGUCAAAAUCGCCACCUCGGAUUUGGCCGUUACCGAGGUCACUGUGCCAUUUUGAGAAUUAAAUUUAUUUGGCUGGUAUUUUUCACAAUAUGGGAAAAAUAUUGUGAUUUUGUUAUCCUAUAGAUGGUUGAAGGUCCCAUAUAGCUUUUGAUUAUUGAGAUUUUAGUGGAUCUAUAGUUUUGAUUCCAGUUUUUUGAUGAGAAGUGUCCAGCCCUUAUUUGAGAAGAAAUGUUAAAUAAUUAUUGAUUGUGUGCCUUCACAAUGAGGUUUUUCUACAGAUUUUUCUACGUAUUUUUCUCAACGUUUUUCUUUGGAUUUUUCUUCAAGUAUUUCUAGACAUUUCUCUAGACGUUUUUCUGCAAGUUGUUCUGCAUAUUUUUCAGAAGUUUGUGCCAAGUUUUUCCACAAGUUUUUCUUCGAGAUUUUCAAUCACCGAGUUAAUCAGUAGCAGCCUGUUCGGUUAGAUUUCAGCCCUGCACCCCUCUGAGAAGAAAUUGGAUGCUGUGAUGUUUUUUUA